GAAAUUUCAAGGAUGAAAUCUGAAAAAAAAGAAAAAAAGAAAAAUAUAUGAAUAUCUUUUAUUUCAGAGAACCUCCCAUGGUUGCACUACAAUUAUCUGUGCCUGAAGGAUUAUCUGUUUCCUACUUAUUUACCUUAUGAAUAAACUACAGUAAACUUAUGAACAAGAAAGGCCCCAAAAUAAGAAGACUUGUGCAAUGGCAACUGUUCAACAAGCCCUCUUAAUAUUGGUAGUGAUUUAAUUGUGAAUUUUCUGAAUCCCAGAAAAUUUUUAAAGAUUGGGCCAAAAGAGGAAGCUGUUACUGGCAGUGUGGGUAACUGUAGGAGCUUCACUAGGACAUUAUAUAACCAAAGAAACAGUAGAUGAAACGUUAAUCAAAUGAAAAAAGUUCCAGAAAACUCUGACAGCAAAGCAUGAGCUCUGGAAACACUAACAUAAAGUUUGCUAUAAAUCUCAUACAGAAAUGCAGAUAAAAGCCCAAGAGUGUCAGAUGAAACAGCAUGCACAAACUGAGAUUUCUACUGUUUUUUAUUUUCCUUAAAGCUAAACAGCUUAGUCAGAUUCUCGUAUUUAUAUGUUUCCUACAGGGACCCUGGGUAAACAGCCCUCACUGGACUAGUCCUAUGUUCUGCUUCACUCUCUCUCUUUUGAGUAUCCUCAGUUGCCACUGCAGGAGGUGCUCAGUAUUUCACAGGACUGAGCCUGAAAAGCUCCAUAUAUUUGGUUCUGGUUGAACUCCAGCCACUCUUUUUAUUACUUUUUUUUUUUUUUUUUUAAAUAGAAAUAGUAUUGAUGCCUGCUCUGCAAAAUGAAAAAACACCACCACCACCAAAACCCAAAAAACCCAAACCACACCGAAAUCAAAACCCCCAAAAAAGCAUCCCACCAUUGCUUUGUCUCAUUCUGUGUCUGAUUUCUUCUGGAGAGAAGCUGUUGCAUUCAGUGAGUGUGUGGCCAGGCCAUUUGUCUGAAGGCCAGUUUUUGUUCUGGGUUGGCAGUGUAGUAUUUUUCUAAGCUCCCCCCCCCAACCCCUGCUAUCACUGCAGCUGCACCUGGCAAGAGGAAGCAACCCACAGUCUAAAAAGCUCAUCAGAACAAUAAUGUCUGCUUCUCUCUUGACAGGUUAAUUAAUUGCAUGCCAUUAUAUUUUGUGUGUGGUUUUGGACUGUUUUGAUACUUUUCUUUCAAGCGUGUUUCCCAGCAGGGUUUGGAAAUGCUGAUGCAUUGUCUGCCUGUCUGUCACUUCAGACGGCACUUGGUGCAGAAAGAAGAGAUGGAAAGGAAAAGAAAGAGGGAAAGAGAGUAUGUUUGGGUGCUACAGUUAGAAAAUGUUACCCACUAGGAACUGCGAUAAAAUCAUGGUUACGGAUGCCUGGAGAAGAAAAAUGUCAUGAAAUUUUGGAGGUUUGAAGUCUGUUGUGUAGCCCUUUGGAAGGCAAGGAAAGGUGGACUCCACGUCAGUCUAAAGCUGUAUUUAGGGGCAUGCAUUGACUCCUUAGACAAUUUAACAUAUUUUUCACCUCACAUGUGAGAGUUUUAACCCCCAGCUGCUGGAUCUUUUGGUGGGAAACCUCUUUUGUGGGAGAGAGGCAGGAGAGAGCAGAAAUUAUAUUUUCACUUGAAGAGACUGGAGUUCCUAAUAAAAAUUUAGUGAAGAGUUUUUCUGUGAAUAGCUGCAACUUUUCACCUCUUGGAUUGCAUUAUUUUCGAAAUUAAAAUAACAUCAUGCAAAUUGUGUGCUAGAACUAAGAGAACUGACCAGAUAUUAUUAUUUUUCAAACUGGAACAUUUCCAGAGGUUGUAUAACACCCUUUUAUAUCCUCCCAGCCAGAAAUAUAUUGAGACUUACAGAAUGAAGAAGUUUGACAGUUUUCAGUGUUCUUGGAAGAUCGACUGCCACGGAAAGUUUUAAAAGACACAAGAGCCAUAUCCAUGUAUUAAGACUAACUUUGAUAAACAGGGUAACAUAACAACAUUCACAUUCAGCAUAAAGGAAAAUAGUAAUGGAAAUGUGUUCUUUGUAUGGAAGUGUAUAGGUUUGGAGGGCCUCUGUCACAUGGCCUGAGAUGGGAGCUUUGUUUCCACACAAGAAUUUGGCGAUUCAAGUGCUAUGCACUGUGCCGUCCUUACAAAUGCUCUCAGUAAUACAGAAAUGUUUUGCAGUUCCUAACGAGUGUUAUCGGUCGCUGCUUUUGUGGACUGCUGUAUGUGGUAUCAGUGCCGAUAGCGUGCCCUCAAUCAAGGGUUCAACUUCACAUGAACGCAACAGGCACAGCUGGGCAUAUUUGGACCAAGAAGUAAAAACAAAGCAAAGCACAACAGACUUACCCAAAAAUCCUGACUUGUAACUGGAUUCACUGUAUAGGAAUUUUUCAUUGCAUCGAGGAAUAACAGAAAAUUGAGAGGUCUGAAGGUCUGGAAAGCAACCAUCCUCCUUGAAGCAUGUGAGAGACAGGUUAUUUCUGUCUGAACUUCAAUGAUUUUCACCUCCGUUGUAUAUAAGGAAGCUAGAAAUAGUCCUCUAUUUUUGGCACUGGGAUGUCUGGGUCAGCAUUGUGGCCUUGGAGCUGCCUGCCCUUGACAUGGUGAAACGACAUUGAGCUCAGGAUCAGGAAGCACUGGAGACACCUGGAAUCCAAAAUUCUAGCCCAUGCAGUACAGAGGGUAUCACAGAUCAUUCUGGAGCACUUGAGCUGGUUGGAUGAAAAAUAUCCUGUACAGGAGUUACCAGGGAGAAUUUCAUUAGACACCAGGGAAGUGGUCUUUCAUUCAAACCCUGAAGAAGCAAAUCAUCUGGAAAAUUCGUGAUGAAAUGGCUUAUCUUCAUAUUCUACGUCUCGAACUGGAGAAUAGUUAGACAAAAGCAAGUAGAUGAACUGAUGAAAAAGAGCUGAAGAAACAAGCUGGAAAUGAAGGCUGAGCCUGCCACCUGACUUCUCUGCUUGUAUAGUUAAAUAAAGUUGUUUUUAUUGGCAUGCAUCAUAUUGUCAAGAUGUUGUAUGACUGCCAGUGAUGCGUAAACAAAUAGAACUUCUUACCUUUUAAAUCAGGACUUCAAAGCCCUAAAUAAAAAACACAGAGUUCCCCAAAGCCCAGUUUGUUACUUCAUAAACAUCACCAGUGACUGACCUCUGCUAGUAUGUCACAUGCAUAUUUCAGCAGUGACAACACUUGUAAAUCCAUGUACAAGCAACUUGCUCCUUAUUUAAGAAACAUACACAGACGGGCAUAACCAAGUCUUGAAAGGCAUAUGCCAGCACUAAAUAUCCCAUGCAGACUUUAACCAGGAAAUAGAAACUGCCAAACGUGCCUCUGUGCAGCAUUGUGUGCCACUCCUUUUGCAAAUUAUAUUCACAAACAGUCUCUAAUGAGUAUAGUCUGGCUGGUAGUGGCAGCGGUGGCAAUUCAUUCCCCCAGAGUUCCCACUCUGUGUGUAAUCAGCAGCAAGAUCUCAAGUCAUGUCAAAGACCCGCUUUACUGCAUGAUUUCCUGACUCUAAUCUUCACCACAGAAACUGCCUCUGUAGAAUUGUAUUCCCUUAAUGAAAAGUUUCCACUGCAUGCUACAACCAUUGCCUUUCAAUGUUGUGAGGAUUGUUGUAAAGAUAACAAGCCAAACUGUAAUCAAUGCAUGGUUAUUUUCCUUCAGAUAGCUCAAAAUCCUAGUUGCACGGAGCAAGAGCUGCCCCAACCAACUCAAUGGUGUAUUGACUCUGACAUGUAAAUGAUAAUUAAAGUACACUGGUGGCUGCUUUCCUGCAGAUGAAUUUUAGCCAUCCAAGACAUCCAAAUGUUUAUCACAGGUUUAUAUUUCUUCCCACACCCCUUUGUGUGGAGAAUUUAAUCAAAAAGAUCCCGGAAUGGGUCCACUGUGUGUAUUCUGCUAAUGAUUUUUCAAAAGUAAGCUAUUAAUGUAAGUUAAAAAAUUGAUAAACAGGUUUUAGAAUCACAAGGAAAAGGAUACAGGAAUUUAUUUUCUGAAUAACUAUUAUACCUCUGAAAGAGACGUAGUUGUUCUACAAAACAAAAGUGCAGCAGACAGACAGCAGAUUUACCCAGCAAGUUAGGAAGGCUGCUUCUGCUUCUGAAGCCUGCUGGUUUGGGGUGGAUGUUCUUGUCCAUCUCAGCACCUCAUUCUGAAGAUCUAUGUGCUAUGGGGAACUGACAGAUUAUACACAGGAAUUCAUUCCUUGUUUCUCCUAAGGUCACAAGGCAAAACCAAUAUGGUUCCCCUGUGCUGCUCACAAGCUCCCUCUCAUCAGUAACAAGCUCUUGGAUAAUGGAAUCUUCAGCAGGAAGAUGGUCUGUGCACAUUAGCACUGGUAUUUGUCGUUGUGCUAAUUAGUCCUUCCCUGAGUAUAAGGAUUAGUGUCAGUCCCUAGGGCAAACUGGUGAUAAAGCUCUAAGAAAAUGUUUAAGCUAAAUAAAGUUGGCAAUGCAAAUGCUUUUAAAUAAUAGGAAUACAUUUGAAACGGUUGCUAUAUGUGGCUUCAAUGCUAAUGCUUACAAUGGUGAUAGCUUAGAACAUAAUCUAUGUAUUAAAUAAAUGUGUAAAUUGGAUUUGGAAAUAUUCAUGGGGACAGAGGGCUGGAGGAGCCUCUUGGGUCUUUCAGUCCAAUUCUGCAUUAUCACAGGCCCAGUGUCAUAUAAUCCCUCUCAUAAACUUGUGUAAUCUUUUUCAUAUGCUUGAACAUGCUUCUCCCAGAAUCUAGUGAAAGGACUUGCACUAUCUUUCAUCUCAGUUCAAGUGUCUGCUUUGAACAGGGCAGGAAUGAAAUCUGAAUGUCACAGAUGUCUGAGUAUCCUAAUAACUAUCGUACUGGUGGAUUUUCUUUUUCUUAAGUUCCCUUUCUCAGUCCAAUUGAACUGUCACUUCUGCAGCCCUGGAGACAGGGGUAAAUUUAAUUUUAAUGUAUUAGAGCUGCAAGCAAGCUAUGUAUAGUUUUUUACCUAUCUUUAGGAAAACCUUCAACAAGAUUCUGGGCAACUAGUUGACCAAUAUGAUUUUUUUGCACCAUGAAGCCAAAAGAUGGAUCUGAAAAAGCAAUAUGUAUGUAUGAACUAGUCUUGUCUGGGAUGAUGCGUUCAGUUCCUGAGAGUUCGGAUAAGCUUAGCUGACUACUGUUUCAAUGAAUAAUUCACUGUCUCUAAAUUUAGCUUUGAUCUAUGUGAUUGUGUUGUGAGCUUGAAAUGUACUCACAUACAUCAUGCAUAGGAGCUCUAACAGCCUUGUCCUUCCCCCUCUCAUAAAAACUCCUUUCUAACCUCCAACUGUUCUCCAGGUGCAUCACUCUUGCAGCUGUACCAGGGUGUUAGGGUUCACAGUUCAUCAGUUUAGAUAUCUCUUUUUUUUUUUUUUUUUUUUUUUUUUUUUUUUUUUUUUUUAAUCUUAAAAGGCUUUUCAGAGACUCCUGUGAAAUCAUGGAGAAAUGCAGAAAGGAACAAGUUGUUGACAGAAGGGGAAAAAAAUUUCUACUCCCUAGAGGCUUUUCACUUCAGAACCAGGGAGUUUGAGACUGCCAAGUCUUGCAUUGUGUGCUGUAUCAUGAGUUGAUUAAACCAGUCCUGUUGUUGGCUACCCUGCUAGUGCAAAUGGCAGAGAAGAUUUGUCUACUAGAUUGCAACUGUGACAGUUAUGGUAAUAAACCAUAGGAUGAAUUUUCUGGGUUCAUAAUUUGCCUUUAUUAAAUCUAGGUUACUCCACAAAACCUGCUGUGCUGGAAGCUCAUCAUUAAGACUAUCACACCAAGAAAAUAAGAUUUAGACAAUGCCAUAGUCUAGGUAGUAUAUUACUUGUGGUUUUGUUUUUCUGUAACUAAUUCACAAUGAUGAAACAAGAGUAACAGUUAAUAUCAACUAUAUUAUAUUACUGUGGGGUAGGUAUGAAAAAUUAAACUAAUGCUGCUUAAUUAGGGUAAGGAAGAAAGAGCUUCCAGUCAAAAGAAACCCAGUAGUCAGCUCUUUAAAGGCUCUACAUACACUUUGAAAUACCUUGGAAAUGGCUGUGUCCCUUCAAUUUUUAAGAAGUAGUUUGGCAAUUUCUAUUCCAGCACUUGCAGUAGAAGUCUUGUUCUGUUGUACAGGAAAGACAUAAGCCCAGAAAACUUGUAAAUAAUUCCAGUAUGUUUUGAUUAGUUUGUGAAUGACAAAGACCAUGUUAUAUGGUUUGGUUAUAAGUUUCCUCUGGUGAAAGAUAAGAUGGGUUCUAUUAGAAAUCUUAAUGGAUGCCAAGCCUCAAAAUCAUAAAGUUUUCUAAAUUCGCCCAAGUGUAAUUCUAAAUUAGGCCAUCACACUUAGUUUGAGUGAGAGAAAAAGUAGACAUAAAUGAGCCUGAGUGCUUAAGCGAGACAGAGAUGAUAAGGCUGAAAAUGUUUCUGUAAUUUUAAUGGACAGGAGAUUUAUGUACUAGGCAAAUAGAAUAAUAGAAUUUUCAUUAAUUUGUCUUUUUAAGAAUUUCUCUCUUUUCUCUAUUUGUCUGCAUGGAUAUGAAAGUCUAUUAAUAAUAAAUAGUAUUAUUCUGAAGAUUUUUUUUUUCUAGUUUUGACCCACUGAGCCAAAUGAAACCUUUUCAUGAUAAAUCAAGUGCAGAAGGAAAGAUACUGCCUGUGUAGUAUUUCAAGUCGCCAGGUCCCAGAGCCUAAUCUCUGCUGUAAUGGUGUGAACAGCAUGUAGCCUAGGGAAGGGAAACAAACCAUACAGAGAGGCUAAUUUGACUCAGCAUGUUAAUUUGGCAUUGGCUAAAAUGGAUCCUUCAAAAUCUGCUUUCUUCAGCCCUCAUGAGAACUUCAGUUUCCUUUUGGAAGAUACUCUCUAGUAAUAAGAAGCCUCUAAAUAUCUGAUACUAGACCCAUAAUAUGGACUGAGAAUUCCUGUUUUUCUCACCUUUGCCUUGACUCCAGGAAGAGCUUCCUUUGCAUUUUUGCAGCCACUAGAAAUAUUUUGCCUGUUUCAAUGCACAGCUUUGUAGCAAUGUUUAAUGAAUGACUGGCAAUGGUUUGCCUAUCAGUCUGUGUAACCAUGCAGACCUUUCUGAUAAAUCCAGGUCAAAAUGAGCCUUGCUGAUUUCUUUUUAAAAAUGAUUGCUAGAAUAUAAAUGCCAAGUCAGCACAGCUGGCUGUAAAACUUAAAAUAUUGUUGGGAUAGCAACAGCUCAGAAAGAUCACAAGUAAAGCAAACUUGAUAAAUUCACAUGGAUGGGAAAAGGAAAUUUUUGGAGGCAGCAUAAUUGCUUUUCAGGCAGUUCUGCUGAGUCUUCGGGAGUGAAAAACAGGUGGUAGGAUGUAUUCUGUGUGUUGGUGUGACAUGUUUGACUUGGAUGCUCAAGGGGACAACAAAAUCAGAUUAAUUUGCUCAGUUUUGGGCCCCUCACUAUGAGAAAGACAUUGAGGUGCUGGAGAGAGUUCAGAGAAGGGCAACAAAGCUGGUGGGGGGUCUGGAGCACAAGUCUGAUGAGGAGCAGCUGAGGGAACUGGGGCUGUUUAGCCUGGAGAAAAGGAGGCUGAGGGGAGACCUGAUCACUGUCUACAACUACCUGAAAGGAGGUUGUAGCAUGGAGGGUGUUGGUCUCUUCUCCCAAGUAACAAGUGGUAGGAUGAGAGAAAAUGGCCUCAAGUUGUGUCAGAGGAGGUUUAGAUUGGAUAUUAGGAAACAUUUCUUCGUGGAACGGGUUGUCAGAAAUUGGAACAGGCUUCCCAGGGAAGUGGUUGAGCUGUCAUCCCUGGAGGUGUUUAAAAGAUGCAUAGAUGUGGCACUUACGGGCAUGGAUUAAUGAAGGACUUGGCAGUGCUAGGUUAACAGUUGGACUCGAUAAUCUUUUCCAAUCUAAAUGAUUCUAUGCUCUCCAGUUGCUUAGCAGAGGCAAAGAUUUCCACGCUGAACUGCAGAACAUGUGUCUGUAUCAGGGUAGGUUUGUAAAUCAGUUUUGAAUCCUUUGGGAUGAUAUACCUCACCUAAAUGCAAUUAAAAUGCAACAUCAUUUGUAACUCUAGUUUUCUCUGUGAUCUGCUUUAAAAUGUAGAUAUGCCUAAGAAUUGUUGAGUCAGACAUACAUCUGGGUUAAAAAGGUGUCAAACUGCUGAUUUACCUGACAGAUGAGUUACAGAGACUUAAUUGUGGACCUGUGUUUCUGAAUAUGAAAAGUGGCAUUCAUAACUUCUUAAUUGGUGCUCCAACUGGUAAUGAAAGACAAUUGCUUUGUAAAACUAUAACAAAUGGGAAAAGAAUGAGCAAGCAAGAAAACAUUUGUGCUCCUACAACUACUACUACAGAUGGUAGCCAUUCUGAGCUGUAGAUACUCCCUCACUAUAAAUCUAUGUGUAGUAUAUUACUUAUAGGUUGUUCUUAAACAGUAUACCAAUAAAAGUGUAUUGAUAUAUAGAUUUUUCAUUUAAAUGUGACUGUUUAGAGUUGUAGCAACAGAAUGUUAAUGGUUAAACUGAGUGUGAAAUAAUGUUAUCAUAUUACUUACAGGCUGUUCUUAAACAGUAUACCAAUAAAAGUGUUUUGAUAUAUACAUUUUUUUCAUUCAAAUGUGACUAGAGUUGUAGUAACAGAAUGUUAAUGGUUAAACUGAGUGUGAAAUAAUGUCAUCAUGAAAGAGUACAAAUGAGGAGGAACUGUACUGGGAAUUUGACAACAGGAGACUUGUCUUUCAGAUGAAAACUAAAAUACUGGCGAGAAUUCUACCAACUGUGUCUUGAUGUUACAGAAAUUAUAAUGGAUAGAGUUUCUCAGUUGGGAUGUUAAAGCUGAGCUGUUAAAUCUUUAUGUAGGCAUUAUAAAAAGUGUUUAAAGCUGACCUUAUUCCCCAGAAGGAGGAUGAGUUACAGAUUUUUAGAGACAUUGCAUCGGUAAUUUUUUAAUGUCUGACACUUCAUGUAUCGUGUUCCUAUUUUUCCCUUGAAGAUUAACUUAAAAUAUAUUUUUUAAUCAUUGGAGAGUGAUAAUGUGAGAGAUUAUGAUUUAUGAGUGUUGAAGAAAACUGAUGGUAUAUUUGCCUUGAGUUUAUAUUGCAAGUGCCGGUAGUUUGGUUAGUAGCUACAAUGAUAUUUGAUUUCUUACUCAGUAUACCCCAACGCAAUGCAUUCAAAAGGCAUUACACUGUAAAAACAUAUGUGAAGUUUCCUUUUCUUUUUUUUUUUUUUUUCCUAUGAAAUGAUAAUUUUCCAAGGGGAGCUUAUCGCUAAGGAAGAAUAGCAACUUUGAGGAAUAGAGUCAUGAAGAGACCGAUGAUCUGUUUGAUUAUCACAAGAGCUCAUUCUGAAAUCUCAUUACGACUUUAGCAGUCUCUUGGUAGCCAGAUGAAAUUAAACAGAGGGGAAAAAAUCCAUCAUGUUAAAACCAUACAUGAGGACAAUCUGUCAAAUCUAAAUUCAGAGAUAGCUCUGUUUAAAGCUGGAAGGGGUGUCUAAUUCUGUGAUUUCAUUCCAGUGUUAACUGAUACUCAUUAAAGUGAAGCAUGCUGUGUACUUUACAAGUAUAGUUUAUUUUUCUGCUUAAGUAACAUCCGUAGUCAAGUCAUAGUUUCAUUGAAUGUCCAAAUCCCUCAAAUUUAUUGGAAUUUUUAUGGGAUUUUUUUUUAAGACUUUGGUUUUAUAUGACUAAACAGCUAUAAAACUAGAUUAAAAAAAUCAGCAUUGCAAGUUGUGAUGGAUUAGAAACAGUAUGUGACGUUGGCUUUGUUUCCUGUUUGGCUGAGUCCCACUCCUACAGAACUAGAGAGAUUUAGAAAGUAAAUGGGUGUUUGAAUUCUUGGAAGAAUAAGAAAGACUUAUGGAGAAUAUUACAAGGUAAAUAUGUGGAAGGUUUACAGGAACAAAGACGUUUAUCUCCUGAAUCUUGAGAGAAAAAAAGUCAAUGUCGGAUUAUAGUGUUUAUGUUGGGAAUAUUUAGUUUUCAUAUAACCACUUAUAACUGUCUUAUUCUAAGGAAUAGUGUUGAUCAAUGAGUCUUAGAGUACAUAUGAAUCAAAAUUGUAAAAUACGGUUUUGUAAUAAAUAUAUGUAACUAAAUUUUUGCGGUCAACGAGAGUGGAUAUUUUUAAUGCAUAGAUGAGCUUACUUAUGUGGUUAGAGGCUUUUAGUAGGAGGAAGAAACUGAAUCAGUUAUUUUUUCAAAUAAUUUGUAUCAUAUUCCGAACCAUGGAAAGAUGAAGCUUAAACUAACUGAUGUGAACACAUGUCACUUGAAAUGCUUUUUAUAUCUCCAAAGUAUGGAAAUUUAUUUUUGAUUUUUCAAAAUGAGUAUGAUAUUAAGAAAAACAAAUACUGCUUCCCUUUUAAGUAUUUUGCCAUCCAACAGAAAAGUUAUUCUAUUUUGAGGAUUCUGCUUAGCACAAAUGGUCUGGUGGGAAAGCAAGGAACUCAUGACUCUGGAAAUUUCUCCUCUCUUGUUUUUGUCAGGAAAAGUUAACAGUUGUUCAGUAAACUCUUAUCUUUUGUAAUGAAACCAGGAUUUUUGUUUCAAUAGCAGACAAGCUGUCAAAGCUGUUUUAAGAAAUAACACACAAUCUCUUUUCUGUCCCCAUCUUCCUAUUGUUGUAUUUUUAGUCUUAAUGUGAUGUGAGGAUUAUUUUUUAAAUUGUUUUAAAUUCCAGCAACAUGCAUGUAUCAAGUUUCAUAAUGUGCAUAGGAAGAUAUUUAUUUUAAGCAUCAUUGUCAUCUUUUUUCUUUAAAGGCACUUCUGUACCUGCAUUAGAGAAUAUUAAAUGUUGUAUUUCCAA